rnacentral:lncRNA from 1 species
GCUUUCACCAGAGCUGAGCAGAUGCUGGCACUAUGCUUUUGAAUCUCUAAAGCCAAAAGCUAAAUAAACCUCUCUUUUCUUUAUAAAUUACCCAGACUUCUCUAGAGGUCUGCGUCAUUGGCUGCUCACUUCCCUGGAAAGAAGACUUCCGGUUGUCCAUCUGGAAGGGUCACAUUAAGCAGAGGAACCGAGUGCCUUGGAAUUAAACUGAGACCAGAGUGUGUAAUUCUGCCUGGGGCCAAUGGGAGAAGACGUAUAAAAAUUGUGACACUUCUGUUGGAAAUCUUGAUGAAGGAACUCACUGCCCCUGUGAUGAACCUACUGGGCUGUUUAUUCCCAUCAUCACCUGAAAGUCAGGAACAACCCAUGAAUAGAAGUAGGAACAGAAGAGGAUGGAAGAGGAAUACUAUGGGGCCACAAUUCAUCUUUUUUCAAAGAUUCAGUUUUGGAUUCUAAGCUCAUCAUAGAGUUUAUCUAUCCUCACUGUUUUGUCUUGUGAUCAGAAAAUAUUUUGAUAAAAUUAUAAAAGAAGCAGAAAAG